AAGUGUUACAGCUCUUUCAGAAUUUGUCUAGUGGGCUUUCUGUUUUUUCCCCCAGAUUUCCCCC